rnacentral:rRNA from 1 species
ACGUAGGGUGCGAGCGUUAAUCGGAAUUACUGGGCGUAAAGCGUGCGCAGGCGGUUCGCUAAGACAGGUGUGAAAUCCCCGGGCCUAACCUGGGAAUGGCGCUUGUGACUGGCGGGCUGGAGUAUGGUAGGGGAGGGUGGAAUUCCUGGUGUAGCGGUGAAAUGCGUAGAGAUGAGGAGGAACACCGAUGGCGAAGGCAGCCCUCUGGGCCAAUACUGACGCUGAUGAGCGAAAGCGAGGGGAGCAAACAG